GUUAAAAUCUUUAAUAUAACAGAUAAUGCUGCAAUUAAACCAGGCACUCCUCUUUAUGCUGCUCACUUUCGUCCAGGACAGUAUGUGGAUGUCACAGCCAAAACGUAGGUCCUCAUAGCGAGUUCUCUUUUCCUUUUGUUUUCAUCUAUUAAAAGAGAAUAGAAUAAGUGAAAGAAGUACAGUCUUUCAAGUCAGUGAAUAAAGGAUAAAUAUAUUUCUCAUUCUGAAUUCAAAUCUUUCAUGUUACCUACACUGGUUUUUAAAUUGUGCCAAAUUAAUUGUAUGUAAAGGGUUCACAUCAGGUUAUAGCUUUUAUUUUUAUUUGUUUUUUUUUUAUUAUACUUUAAGUUCUAGGGUACAUGUGCACAACGUGCAGGUUUGAUACAUAGGUAGACGUGUGCCAUGUUGGUUUGCUGCACCCAUCAACUCGUCAUUUAUAUUAGGUAUUUCUCUUAAUGCUAUCCCUCCCCCAGCCCCUCACCGCUGACAGGGCCUGGUGUGUGAUGUUCCCCGCCCUGUGUCCAAGUGUUCUCAUUGUUCAAUUCCCACCUAUGAGUGAGAACAUGCGGUGUUUGGUUUUCUGUCCUUGUGAUAGUUUGCUCAGAAUGAUGGUUUCCAGCUUCCAUGUCCCUGC
rnacentral:lncRNA from 1 species